rnacentral:misc_RNA from 1 species
UGUUUUUUUUUUUUUUUCUAACAUAUGAUAUGUAACUUGCUACAAUAGCAAAGUUUAAUUGUUCAAGUGCUUUUUUCAUUGAAAAUACUCUUGCUUCCCAAUUUUAAAAGAAAUUAACAUUUUGUUAAUCUAAACUGCAUCAGUUGCAUGCCCCACUUGGUUUGAAAUUUUGGAUAAGCAUGAAUUCACAUAAUUUUAGUUUUUGAAGUUGUUUGAGUGAAUGGUCUCAGUGACUGCCACCGUGUUGUUCUUACAAUUGUGAUAUUAGAUAAAGUGAAAACUGGGAGAAGUGAUCCCCAGUUUUUAUAUGUAAGCACACUGAAGAUGGAAAAGUGUUAUAAACUUCUGGCUAGGUGAUCAAAAGUGCUGCACGAACUCCUAGCUUUGGGAUUGUGUUUGAAUCUUUUAGCUAGUUUCAAAUUCACAUUUAACAUACUUGUAUAGUGGUUAAUAUGCUAAUUGUUUGACAUCCUUAUAGUUGCAUCUCUUCUCUUUAUAAUUUUGUGUCAGAUAUUUACAUAGGAUCUUACAUCUUCAGGUACUUGAAAUCAAACUGCAAAUAAUA